rnacentral:rRNA from 1 species
GUAAGCAGUGUAGCAAUACAUUGCCUAGAGUGACGUACGGGUGCGUAACACGUAUGCAACCUACCCUUUACAGGCGGAUAGCUCGGGGAAACCCGAAUUAACCCGCCGUAGUAUAAUAGAAUGGCAUCAUUUUAUUAUUAAAACUCAGGUGGUAAAGGAUGGGCAUGCGUCUGAUUAGUUAGUUGGUAGUGUAACGGACUACCAAGACGAUGAUCAGUAGGGGAACUGAGAGGUUGAUCCCCCACACUGGCACUGAGAUACGGGCCAGACUCCUACGGGAGGCAGCAGUAGGGAAUAUUGGUCAAUGGAUGCAAGUCUGAACCAGCCAUGCCGCGUGCAGGAAGAAGGCCUUCUGGGUUGUAAACUGCUUUUGUCAGGGGAUAAAAUUUCCUUGCGAGGAAAAUUGAAGGUACCUGGCGAAUAAGCCACGGCUAACUACGUGCCAGCAGCCGCGGUAAUACGUAGGUGGCAAGCGUUGUCCGGAUUUAUUGGGUUUAAAGGGUGCGUAGGCGGCCCUGUAAGUCAGUGGUGAAAUAUUUCAGCUCAACUGGAAUUGUGCCAUUGAUACUGCGGGGCUUGAGUACAGAUGAGGUAGGCGGAAUUGACGGUGUAGCGGUGAAAUGCUUAGAUAUCGUCAAGAACACCUAUAGCGAAGGCAGCUUACUAGGCUGUAACUGACGCUGANGCACGAA